GGUAACCCGCUCGCGUCCCCUUGCCACUGUGGAAGCUUUGUUCUUUCACUCUUUGCAAUAAAUCUUGCUACUGCUCACUCUUUGGGUCCAUGCUGCUUUUAUGAGCUGUAACACUCACCGUGAAGGUCUGCAGCUUCACUUCUGAAGCCAGCGAGACCACGAGCCCACCGCGAGGAACGAACAACUCCAGACGCGCAGCCUUAAAAGCUGUAACACUCACCGCGAAGGUCUGCAGCUUCACUUCUGAAGCCAGCGAGACCACGAGCCCACCGCGAGGAACGAACAACUCCAGACGCGCCGCCUUAAAAACUGUAACACUCACCGCGAAGGUCUGUAGCUUCACUCCUGAGCCAGCAAGACCACGAACCCACCAGAAGGAAGAAACUCCGAACACAUCCGAACAUCGGAAGGAACUAACAACGCCAGACGCGCCACCUUAAGAGCUGUAACACUCACCGCGAGGGUCCGCGGCUUCAUUCUUGAAGUUGUAUCAGAAGUGGAAUUCAAAGUAGAGUUUCCAGUGACUGCCAGGAGCUUCAAGUGACCAAAUGAGCUAACUACUGGACCCAUUGCAUCCAUUGCUCUCACAACCACUGAAGAUUGUGGCUCUCUAUCCAGAACUAGCCUCCCUGGAGCAGCUCCUCAUUUCAAUGACUUUAAGAAAAGGUCAUCUUUACUAUGACAAACAUUGACAUGCCAACAGGAGUGACAGAAAAUUUGCUGAAGACAAAUGAAGCCAGGUAAAAAGCAGGGGAAGAGAAUUAGAUAAUGCAGAAUGGGAAAAAUAAAACUGGGAAAUCUGUUGCCAGACCCAUGCACUUCAGUUUAGUUUAUGGUGUGCAACCUGUAUUUACUCUGGGAGAUGCUAAGCUGCAUACAAGGUGCUUUAUCUUCAGAGACAAAAUACGAAAUAUCUCCUUGCUUUUUAAAAGACAUGUGCUUGUUGACUUUGAACCAAACAUGAAGGGUUCUAAAAGGUCAUAGGCAUACCUCUAAAUCUUCCCAGUACUCUUCCUGAACUUGUCUCGAGUUUGUGUUCAGAAUCUGCUAAAAAGAGAUGGCACAUUUCAAAAUGAGUCCCAGUCAUCUCCCUCAACCCAUGCACUCAACUUCCAACUUAAAAUCAGGAACUUGUAAAUGAUAAAGCAAGGCCUGGCUCUUGUCUGUAUGAAAUUCUAAUUUUUAAGAAAGGCGGUAUAUUUCUGAGACAUACAUAAAGGACCCAAGCUGGGUUUGACUCCUGCCUGUGUCUCUUACUGGCUGUGCAAUCUUGAUAAAUUACUUCUCUGAGCUUCGGUUUUCUCUGAGAAAAGAAAGGUCAAGGAGAAUCCCUGUCUGUAAGGCUGAGAUCAGACACUGCAUGUGACACAUUUAGAACAGUACCUGUAGAUAUACAGUAAAUGCUCAAUAAAUCAUAACAAUUAUUUCCUGAUUAAAAAAAUAGCUAUCAAUAAUUGGUAAAAUUUUUCAAUCUUUGGUUAUUACAAUUUAGGAAUAUUUGCCUUCAGCUUUACUCUUUCUACUGACAGUACAUGUCUUGAGAAAGCUUUGGAUCCACUUAUAUCGUUUCUUCUUUAUGUAAGACAUAAGUGAAGGGAAAGGACAUGACACCCUGAGUAUUUUCCAAGCAUAGUAGGUGACCUAAAUAUUCCCAAUAGGACUGCCUAUCUCCAUAAAGGAUAGACUCUCUUUCUUUAUGGGGAGGCAGAACUCUCAAUGGGUUUCAUUUUUUCCCUUGCUGUGUCUUUCCCUGUACUCUUUCCCAGGCUUCAUCACUCCCUCAAGGGCUCUGGUCAGGAAAGUCAGGCCUGGGGUUGUCCUGUUAGGUCUUUAACCAGGACUGAAGUCAGCAUCAUGGAAAAAGAUAGCGGCAGAUGAGAGGAAAGGGAGAAGAGAGUGAUGUGGAAAGAAAUAGGCAAGAAGGGAAGAAGAAUCUGGUAAGGCUGUUAGAAAGCCAACAAAUUAGAUUGUAAGUUCUGCAAGGACAUUCCUUAGUUUUGUAUCCCCCUGUGCCUAGCACAGUGUCUGACAUGGAGUCAAUACAUAAAAAGGAAUGAUGAAUAAAUGGAAGGUCUUUUAUUAGGGUUUUUAAUAACCUUAGACUGGAUAAGAUCUAUCAAGAACAAAUUCAGAAAAAAAGUGAGAAGCUGAUCUACUACUACUACAUACGAAACUGCAAUUUUUCUAAGUAAAACACGGUCAAAUAAUGGCAAUUUUCCAUGGGUCUACCUGGGUCUCUACCUUCCUAACACAUUCCUGUAAAGUCAGCAUCAUGUAACAGUGCUGUGUCACAUGUGCUUUACAGCAAACAGGAGAGACCAAAUCUUCCUUAUUCCCUAGCCACUGCUUCUGCCAGAUUGGGUUGGUUACCACCAUUCCUGCCACCUGCCCUUAGGCUCCACUGUUCCUACUACUUUGUGUAUUUAUCACUGCACUUACCACCCUCUACUAUAACUUUUUUGUUUCAUGUCUCUUUCAUAUGUUAUCUAUUCUGUGAGCUCGGCUGAUUUAUUCAUUAAUUCUUUCAACAACAAUUUAUUAAACCACUAGUAUCAGGAACUACUAUUUGUGCUGGGGACUUAUCAGUACUCAAGAUAUGGAUUCUUGCUCUUUUGAAGCAUCUAUAUAACACCAUGAAGACAAUGACUAUGUUUAUUUCUCUUUGCCCCUACUUAUGAUAGUUCCAGAUCUGUAACAUGGACUCAAUAGAAGUCCUUUUUGGGAAGAGUUAACUGUAUUUUUGCAGAGAUUUAUUGAUGGCACGUGGAAAGCAAAAGAAAGUCCAAGAAAAAUUCCCUUUUACAACAUAUUAAGCUGAAUUUUCUGUUUUCUGUUUCCAUGCCGUUUUCUGUGUCAGGGCUUUGCCAAGGGCACUGAAUCCCUGCCAUGGCUGCCUUGACCUGAAAUAGGAUCAGAUGCUUUUUCUUGAUCAAAUGCUCCCCCUCUCCCUGGUCCAUGGAUUUCUUCCCACACACAGCUACAGACUUGCUCUAGGGCCUGGGGACCUAGCCAAGGGACUGCUACUGAGCAGUGAGAAACAUGAGUUGGGUUAUUUGUUCAUUUAUUUAGGUGUCCUAAAAUAAACUCAGCACUUGAAUCCUAUAUUGUGAUAAUGAUUUCAUAAAAUACUAACUCUGGUAUUGGACUCUGCCUUGUUCAGUUGUGGAAGGCUGAUGAUCUAAAUUAUAACGAUUAAAAAACUAUCAAAUGGUUUGUUAUAGAAGUAAUUAAUUUUCCUUGAAAACUAAGGUUUAAGACAAGUGUUUUUUAUAACUUCUUAGGCCUUUUGUUACUUUAUUACCAAUGAUUAUUCAUCAUAACCAUUGGUGGUAUUAAUCGAGUACUUCCUAGGUUCCAGGUAUCCUGAUAAAUGCUUAUGUACAUUAUUUCAUCUUUGUACAACCUUGUAAGGUAACUAUUUUAUCCCCACUUUUUUAUGAGGAAACUGGUCUGGAGAGAUUAAGUAACUUGCCCAUGGUCAUAUAGCUAGGAGCCUAAUGGGAGAAAAACACAACCCGAAAAACUGACCCAGGUACUUUGAGGACUGGGCCUCUUCCUAACAGCAGAUAUCUCCUCCUCUGAUCCUUCAGCUAAUUUAUACUGACUCUACUACCUGCAAUUUCAUAUGGACUCAUUAAUUGGGCUUAAGCCAGUUGCUAAAAGGUAGUAUUAAAGGUCAUAUUUUAAUCUAACUAUCCAAAUUUCAGAGUCUCCAGAUACUAUUUUUUACUGUGAUAUUAACUAGGGACAAUAUUUGGAACACAGACAAUAACGUCAAAAAUGGUAGAAAGCAUU